ACAUACGACCAUAGGGUGUGGAAAACAGGGCUUCCCGUCCGCUCAGCCGUACUUAAGCCACACGCCGGUUGGUUAGUAGUUGGGUGGGUGACCACCAGCGAAUCCCAACUGUUGUAUGUU
rfam:Penicillium marneffei ATCC 18224 scf_1105668340984 genomic scaffold, whole genome shotgun sequence.